rnacentral:lncRNA from 1 species
AAUCUACUCAAAAAAUAUUUACAACAAAUGAUGAUAAUAUUCAAAAAAUCUAUACUACUUACAAUAGCAUGAGUUUUAAUUUUUUUUCUCUUUCUAAAAAUGUCUCUAUCUUUUUUACGAUUAUUUUCAUACUCGUUAAUUGUGAACCAUUCAGUUUAAAUAAUUAAUCAAAUAAUAAUUUAUUAUCGAAUUUAGAUCUUAAUUUUUUGCCAUUAAAUCUCAUCCAAUGAUUGAGAAAAAAAGUAUUUGUCAUUUUUGUGACAAUAAUACACUCGCAUUAAUAUCAUACUUUAUCAAACGUAAUAUCCGUUAUCUCCUAUCUACGUGUUUCUCAAAUAUUUUUUUUCUCAUGCAUAAUACCCGCCAUUUAUCCAAUGUAAUAUUCCAUAUCAUCCAAUCAUAAUAUUUCAUCCCAUCAAAUACCUUAUCGAAAUAAAUAACAUAAUAAAACAAACUUAUAAUUUCUCUUUAUUUCUAACGAAUAAUAUUUUUUUCUAUUAAAUAUUUUUUAAGGUGAAUAUUUAAAAAUAUUUCAAUUUUAUCUACUAAUAUUUAAUUGUUAUAUUAACUUUUUAUUGAUUUCAAUUGAUAAUCAAAUUUAAAUUUAAAUUUAAAUAUCUAUAUAAAUUUUAAUUUUAUUUAAUUUACAAUUUUUAUUUCAUCUAAAAUUUAGAGUUGAAAUUUAAUUACAUAAUUUAACUUUAAAUUAUAAAUUUUUAAAUUCAAAUUAAAAUUUGAGUAUAAAUCGUGAAUUAAAUAUAAUUUUGAAUAUUAAUUUUGGAUUAAGAGUUAAAAUUUUAAUUAAAUUAUAUCAAAAUUAAAAUUUGAAUUUUGACUUAAACAAAAAUUAAAAUUUUGAUAUUUUUAGUUUAAAACAUAUAUUUAAAUUUUAGAUUCGUCAGAAACCAAAAAAUAUAGUGCAAUAUUCAAUGUUUCCCACACAUAAUACUCGUCAUCUACGUAUUUCUAACAUAUUUUAAUACCUUUGCAUAUAAUAUUUCUACUGCUCAAUCUCAUCUAAUUAUAAUAUUUAUUCAUCUACACGUUUCUCAAAUAUAGAGCAUAUUUUAAUAAAUUUGCAUAAAAUAUCUCCACUAUCCAAUCUCAUCUCAUUAUAAUACUUAUUCACACAUGGAGCAUAUCUUUUUUUCAAAUGUAGAGCAUAUUUUUUUAGCAAUAUAUAUAUUUUUCAUUUUUUUUUUAUUUCUACUUAUACGUUUCUCAAAUAUAUUUUUCUUUAGUAAUAUCCUUUCUCAUUUGUCACAUCGUCUUCCUCCUUAUCUUCAUCGCUAGCACCGGCACAUUAUGAUUUGCCGCAGCUGGAGAGGUAUUUUGAUCCCAUCUGAUUCAUUUUAAUGUAUCAUAAUAUAGUUUCCCUCCCAAUCCGUCUUUCAUAUGCCAAAAUUUUUUCUUUUAAUGUGCCUUUGUACUCUUUUACUUUUUAAGCUCUUUAAAUACUAAGAAGUUUGUAUCUUCAUGACCUUUUAUCUCUCAUGCUAACUGCGCAAGCUGUCGUCCUCUCUGGCAUAUCUUUGUUGUCAUCGCCAGCGCCAGUGCUGGCACGUCGCCGUCGUCAUCAUCUUCGCAGGCACAUCGUCGUCAUCGCCUUCGCCGGCACAUCGUUAUCAUCCUCUGUGCCGGCACAUCGUCGUCCUCCUCCUCGUCGGCACAUCUUCGUCGUCGCCUUCGUCGGCACAUUGUAGUCAUCCUACUUGGCGGAACAAUCAUUUUCUGACAGCUAGAGAGGUAUUUUGAUCCUAUUACAUUUAUUUUGCAGACGUAGUAUAGUUUUCCAUCCAAUUUGUUUUUCAUAUACCUA